UUGAGGUGGUGCCGAGGAGGGGGCACCGCGGGGAGUCAGUCGCCGCUGCCCUGCAAAGGACACCUGCAACUACGUGUAUUCCAAAUGCCCAAGUUGCACUCCUAAGGAAACUUUUGUCAGGCUGUCAAGAUGAUAACAAAAC